GGGCGGCGGGCGGCGGGCGGAAGGCAUCACUUUGUCCGGACUCUAAUUCAAAUUGUAUUCAUCCGAUCUUCACCAAACUUGGUCAGCAGUUGCAUCUAGUUGAUAUCUAGGCCAAGUUCGAAUAUGGGUCAUGCCGGGUCAAAAACUAGGUCAUAGGGUCAAUAAGUGCAUUUUCAAAGGGGCCACUUUGUCCGGACUCUAUUUCAAAUUGUAUUCAUCCGAUCUUCACCAAACUUGGUCAGCAGUUGCAUCUAGUUGAUAUCUAGGCCAAGUUCGAAUAUGGGUCAUGCCGGGUCAAAAACUAGGUCAUAGGGUCAAUAAGUUCAUUUUCAAAGGGGCCACUUUGUCCGGACUCUAUUUCAAAUUGUAUUCAUCCGAUCUUCACCAAACUUGGUCAGCAGUUGCAUCUAGUUGAUAUCUAGGCCAAGUUCGAAUAUGGGUCAUGCCGGGUCAAAAACUAGGUCAUAGGGUCAAUAAGUGCAUUUUCAAAGGGGCCACUUUGUCCGGACUCUAUUUCAAAUUGUAUUCAUCCGAUCUUCACCAAACUUGGUCAGCAGUUGCAUCUAGUUGAUAUCUAGGCCAAGUUCGAAUAUGGGUCAUGCCGGGUCAAAAACUAGGUCAUAGGGUCAAUUAGUGCAUUUUCAACGGCGCCACUUUGUCCGGACUCUAAUUCAAAUUGUAUUCAUCCGAUCUUCACCAAAUUUGGUCAGAAGUUGUGUCUAGAUGAUAUGUAGGUCAAGUUCAAAUAUGGGUCAUGCCGGGUCAAAAACUAGGUCAC